CCUACGGGAGGCAGCAGUGGGGAAUCUUGCACAAUGGAGGAAACUCUGAUGCAGCGAUGCCGCGUGAGUGAAGAAGGCCUUUGGGUUGUAAAGCUCUUUUGUAGGGGAAGAUAAUGACUGUACCCUAAGAAUAAGGUCCGGCUAACUUCGUGCCAGCAGCCGCGGUAAUACGAAGGGACCUAGCGUAGUUCGGAAUUACUGGGCGUAAAGCGCGCGUAGGCCGUUGAGUUAGUUAAUUGUGAAAUCCCAAAGCUUAACUUUGGAACUGCAAUUAAAACUGCUCGACUAGAGUUUGAUAGAGGAAAGCGGAAUACAUAGUGUAGAGGUGAAAUUCGUAGAUAUUAUGUAGAACACCAGUUGCGAAGGCGGCUUUCUGGAUCAACACUGACGCUGAGGCGCGAAAGUAUGGGUAGCAAAGAGGAUUAGAUACCCUCGUAGUCCAUACCAUAAACGAUGAUUGCUAGAUGUUGGAAAUUUAUUUUCAGUAUCACAGCUAACGCAUUAAGCAAUCCGCCUGGGGAGUACGACCGCAAGGUUAAAACUCAAAGGAAUUGACGG
rnacentral:rRNA from 1 species